rnacentral:rRNA from 1 species
CAGGCCUAACACAUGCAAGUCGAGCGGUAGAGAGAAGCUUGCUUCUCUUGAGAGCGGCGGACGGGUGAGUAAUACCUAGGAGUCUGCCUGAUAGUGGGGGAUAACGUUCGGAAACGGACGCUAAUACCGCAUACGUCCUACGGGAGAAAGCAGGGGACCUUCGGGCCUUGCGCUAUCAGAUGUGCCUAGGUCGGAUUAGCUAGUUGGUGAGGUAAUGGCUCACCAAGGCUACGAUCCGUAACUGGUCUGAGAGGAUGAUCAGUCACACUGGAACUGAGACACGGUCCAGACUCCUACGGGAGGCAGCAGUGGGGAAUAUUGGACAAUGGGCGAAAGCCUGAUCCAGCCAUGCCGCGUGUGUGAAGAAGGUCUUCGGAUUGUAAAGCACUUUAAGUUGGGAGGAAGGGCAGUUACCUAAUACGUGAUUGUCUUGACGUUACCGACAGAAUAAGCACCGGCUAACUCUGUGCCAGCAGCCGCGGUAAUACAGAGGGUGCAAGCGUUAAUCGGAAUUACUGGGCGUAAAGCGCGCGUAGGUGGUUUGUUGAGUUGAAUGUGAAAUCCCCGGGCUCAACCUGGGAACUGCAUCCAAAACUGGCAAGCUAGAGUAUGGUAGUGGGUAGUGGAAUUUCCUGUGUAGCGGUGAAAUGCGUAGAUAUAGGAAGGAACACCAGUGGCGAAGGCGACUACCUGGACUGAUACUGACACUGAGGUGCGAAAGCGUGGGGAGCAAACAGGAUUAGAUACCCUGGUAGUCCACGCCGUAAACGAUGUCAACUAGCCGUUGGGAGUCUUGAACUCUUAGUGGCGCAGCUAACGCAUUAAGUUGACCGCCUGGGGAGUCGGCCGCAAGGUUAAAAC